rnacentral:rRNA from 1 species
CCCUUAGAUGUUCUGGGCUGCACGCGCGCUACACUGAUACUUUCAGCGAGUCCACCACCUUGCCUGGGAAGGUGGGGUAACCUCUGGAAAGUGCAUCGUGAUGGGGAUCGAUUAUUGUAAUUAUUAAUCUUCAACGAGGAAUUCCCAGUAAGCGCGAGUCAUAAGCUCGCGUUGAUUACGUCCCUGCCCUUUGUACACACCGCCCGUCGCUACUACCGAUUGAACGGUUUAGUGAGGGCCUCGGAUUGGUCUCGGCCCGCUCUUUACCGGGCGGCGCCGUUGGUCGAGAAGACGCUCGAACUUGAUCGUUUAGAGGAAGUAAAAGUCGUAACA